UACGAACACACUGUCCAAUAAGAAAGUAGCAGGUGGGCGUGAACGAAUUCUUGGUUUCUGCUCUGUAUUUACUUCCGUCAAUAUUUCCAGCACAGCAGGAAGGAGAGCUGCGAGAAACAAACUGACCAGCCACAAAGGAACUCCUUGGAUCUUAAGGUGUUCGCCGUGGCUGCAGCUCUUCUCUGCUCAUAGUCCUCCGUUCCCCAGUUAGUAUGCCUUUCUUAGGCAAAGACUGGAGGUCACCUGGAUGGAGCUGGACGAAGACGGACCAUGGCUGGAAGAGGAUUGUUUUCUUUGGACACGAGCUGGAGAACAACAAAGAGAUAGACCUGGAAGAGCUCUGCAGUGACAACAAUGAAAAUCUGUUUUUCGGAGAAGUGUGUGAGCUCGCCAACACCAAGAGGAAGAAGGAGUUGUACAACAAUAAUACUAAAUCCCAGUUUGUUUUCAGAGAUAAAUGGAUCUACGUGCAGAAAGGAAGCACGAAGGAACGACACGGUUACUGCACAAUCGGGGAAGCUCUCAACCGACUAGACUUUUCCAGUGCGAUCCAAGACUUGCGAAGAUUUAACUAUGUUGCAAAGCUUUUCCAGCUGAUAGCCAGGUCUCAGCUAACGUCUUUGAGUGGAGCUGCCCAGAAAAACUAUUUCAAUAUACUGGAGAAGAUUGUACGAAAGGUCCUAGAGGACCACUACAAUCCUCGCCUCGUUAAGGAGCUUCUGCAGGACCUGAGCUCCACACUUCACAGUCUGACCAUCCAUGUUGGCAGGUGUGUCCUCGUGGGCAACGUGAACAUCUGGUUGUGCCGCCUGGAGACCAUUGUGAAAUGGCAGCAGGAGCUCAACAAUAUGCAGAUCCCGAAGCAAAUGUACACCGGCUUGUCUUUCAACGACUUGCCGCUGUACAUGCAGAACAAGAUCCUCUGUAAGUUAUCUGACGCCUGUGACAUCAUCAACUUGGGUCAGGCCACGCCGACGUUGCACGUCCUCAGUGAGAACAGGACGCUGUGGAAGAAACUCUGUCAGUUUCACUUCUCAGACAAACCGGUGAGGAAGUUGUUUUAUGCUUCCAAUUCUGCUUGUGGACUUCCACUGCUCAUACGCAGUUCUGCAGGAAUUUGGGUCUAACCAGAGCCGACAAUGUGGACUGGAAGCUGAUGUACUUCACCCUGCAGAAGCACUACCCCAUGAAGGAGCAGUACGGUGACACGUUGCACUUCUGCAAACACUGUAGCAUCCUCUUCUGGAAGGACUUUGGCCACCCGUGCACCGCCAAUGAUCCAGACAGCUGCUUGAUGCCCAUUUCUCCGCAGCACUUUAUCGACCUCUUCAAAUUUUAAACCCGCCAUGUUGUUCUCCGACACGACGUCCAUAACUUUCCAUCCCACUUUGAGUGUGUUUAAAACACCUCAACGUUGUUUACUCAAAUAAAAAAAAAAAGGGCUUAAAACUGUAUGAAAAGGAUUUUCAUUUUUCAACGCACAACUAUUUCCAAACAUAAAAAAGACUAAAUGUUUUUUUUGCUUGUUUGUUUCAAAACUUAAAAAGAUCUUUUAUGUUUCAGCACAUGUCCGUCGUGAAGACAGAAAAAGCUUCUCUCUAUAGAGGGAAUUACAUUUUGUAAAUAUUUGAAAGGAAAAAAUGUAUAUUGAAGGAAUUUAUGUGUAAAAUGUGUUUUAGCCUGUCUUUGGUAGCUGUGUAUUCAGUGAUUGGAUGUAUUAAGAUUUACAGAGAGCUAAAAGGCAAAAUAUGUCUGGGUUUAAUUGCAUCCUGAUCUUUUAUUUCUGGUGGCAUUUUUCUACAGUAACAGUUCCUUCUUCGUGUUUUGACUCCGUUUACAAACCGUCAGUUGUCCUCUGUUAGCUAAUGUAAAUCUCUGUUGAGUGUACAUGUUUUCUACUGCUGUUAGGCGUCUGAAGUGGCAAACAGAAAAAAAUUAAUGUGUUUAAGGGGGAGGGGAUGACUUUUCUCAUUCUCUUCCAACUUUUGUAACAUCCCUUUACCAAUCCAUACUCUUGAAGGUACUUUUAUGAAUUUUACCAUGUGGGAACUAGCUAUGAAUUAAAAGUGUUUGUAAAAACUG